rnacentral:rRNA from 1 species
CGCGUAGGAAUAUGCCUUAAAGAGGGGGACAACUUGGGGAAACUCAAGCUAAUACCGCAUACGCUCUGAGGAGGAAAGCUGGGGACCUUUUGGCCUGGCGCUUUAAGAUUAACCUGCGUCCGAUUAGCUAGUUGGUGGGGUAGAGGCCUACCAAGGCGACGAUCGGUAGCUGGUCUGAGAGGAUGAUCAGCCACACUGGAACUGAGACACGGUCCAGACUCCUACGGGAGGCAGCAGUGGGGAAUAUUGGACAAUGGGGGAAACCCUGAUGCAGCCAUGCCGCGUGUGUGAAGAAGGCCU